CGCAACUAAAUAGAGCUGGAAAGAAUAUUUCCUUUUCUGUCAGUUUUAGAAUUCUUGUGCUUUAAUUUCAUUUGAGCUUCUAUUUGUUGCGGUGGUUUUGGUUUUAGGGAUUGGGUAGGGUGAAGUUCUCUCUCCCUUCUCACUCUCAACUGAUCGUUCAUCUCCUUCCUUUCUCACUCUUAGCCACAAUCACAGAUCUUCGUUGGUCAUUGCAACAUCCCUCCCUUAAUUCUCAGUUCAGUCGGCAGCCACAGGUCCUUAUUGAUCGUGCACCUCAAAUCCUCAUCAGCAUCACAAAUCUUGGAAGCAUCACAAAGAGCAGGUAUGAGCUCACAGCGUAGCAACUCUGAAACAGUCCUGGUUGCAUUUAAGAGCUCACACAUCACCUCUACAUACUUGUUCCAAGUUUCCAUUGCUCUUCUGUGUUUAUAUUCAUAAGCAAAUAUGGAGAAUUAUAUUCUUUACAUUCAGAUUGUCUUGAUGGGUUGUAUUUUGCAAAUCAGAUUGUGUAGAUGGAAAUCACUCAUUGAUUGUUUGGGAGAUUUUUCAAUUUUAAGAGUUCUAUUUUAUGUUCUUGAAAAUGAAGGGCGGACAAAAUGGAGGAGGUUAUUUUUGGAAUUAAAAAUUAGUCUCUCCAUUGCCUGACAUUUUCCCUUGACAGAUGAAUUUCCUAACAGAAGGAUCAAAUUACUAUAGUUUAAGAUAAUCAUAGACAUUUUAAUUGCCUCUAAGAAUAAUAAGGACUAAAUAGUUAAUUUUCCUAAAACCUAGAGACCCUACAAUAUUUUACCCUUAUACAUAUCAUGCAUAUAUUAGAUCCAAAAUUAAUUAAUUUAAAACCAAAACUAGUUCGAGAUCCGAGAUCAUGCAUAUGUUAAAUCCAAAAGCAAUUAAUAUAAAAACCCAAUCUAGUUCAAGAAUCAAGAGAUGAGAUGAGUUGCAUGCAAGCAUGUGAAGAUAAAAACAAGUGAAUAGCACCUUCAAUGAACUUGCAUGUUGUACAAUAAAAUGCCCAAUCACAUCUUUCCCCAAAUUUGCCCCACAAAGUGGACACACCUGAAAGCACAACAUUUAAGUCACCGUCAAAUUCAAGUAUCAAAAGAUAGCAUAAGGAAUUGAGUGCUCCAUUGCAAGAUGCCCAAUUAUUAUGCUUGCUAUGACCUUUGUCCCCUUAAACAAAUCAGGUUGAACAGUAUCCUUUAAGGCACUUUAUAAUCUGUCAUACUGGCCAGAAGAAGCUCCCAUUAGUUGGAAUGGGGGCCACGGCAGCUAGGGGGGACAAGAGAGUAUCCAUAUCAAUGGAACUUGAUGAUUAAUUCACUAUCAAAAAGCCUUGUUACUGAUGCUAAUACGAGUACAGCCCCCAGUUGAAGCCCCCAUGAGGAGGCUAAAACAGCUAGGUUGGACAAGAGAGGAUCCAUCCCAAUGCAAUUUGAUGAUUAUUAAACUAUUGAAAAGACUUGUUACCGAUGCCAGUUACAUCUAUACAUACAUAUAGAUACCGCCCACAAGCUUACACAUAGACACACACAUGCAGCUCAUAGAUAGCUAUGCCCCACAGGCAUACACAUACAAACUCACACAGUCACGGCCCCUAAGCAAUAUUACACACACCAUAUUGUCAUAUAAAAGGAAGCACAUACUGCAUUUUUUAAGUCAAAGCAGUGUUCAUUCUGCAGAUGGCUGCAGAGAACAUGGACUUCAAUGUCUACAUAGCAGAAGGGGCAUGGAAAGUAUGCUCUUGUAUCCUCAUCUCCAUCUGAAUCAUCCAUUGCCAAAUGAUCUGCUGAUACAUUGAACAACAGAAGAAAAGAAAAGUUACAUGGAUUAAAUAUUCAUCAAUCUAGCAGCAGCGACCAAUAAAGACCAGAAAAGAGGAUACCAUGGUUUUGAAACCAAGGAACACCUAGGAUUCCACUAACACAAGGCGACUGAUUCGAAUGCAAAUCAAAAGAGUGAAAAAUGGAAAAAAACAAAAAGGAAAAGAAAAAGAGAGACAGAGGAAAAUUAUAUCCAUUAUAGUAGCAGGAAGCCAGGACUGCAGGAGUGAUUUCAUGCGGAUACUUGUACAUAUACAGAUGAUUGCUAAGCUCCAACCAAACAUGUCCCUAACAAGUAAAUAUCAUUCUGCACUUUAACUACUCAGAAUUAAACAAAAACUUUAAUUCAUUCUCUAUAAUCGUUCAAUAUUCAAAUCUAGGAACAACUACUCAGAAUGAGAAACACAUUUUUCUUCUCUUUGUUUUUUGGUUCGCGAAAGAAACGAGCAACACAUUUGAAUCGACGUAAAAAUACCAGCACCCAGAGAAAUUUCCCAUGUGCAUUCUCAUAACUCGUGGACCACUUCAAACUACACCUGUUAUAGAACUUUUUUCCUUUCUAUAGCUCUCACUGAAAAUUCCCCAAAAUACAUGCAUUUAACACAUGCUAACUGGGCUAGUCAAAUGAAAGGUUUAACCUCUCAUCUUCACUGAAACUGGUUUCAUCUUUUGAUUUCUCAUCACAUUCAUCAUUGCAUUCUUCUACACCAUUGGCAUGAUAGAUAUUAGAUACUAGAAUAUUCUUGCUGUCCUGCAGAUGUUUUGAUUUUAAGGAACCGGAUGGCUUGAUCAAAAGGUUUGAAUUUUGGCUUGAAGGUUCUGAUUUUGCAUUCAGAAGAUUUGUUCUUUCCUUGGAAAACAACAAUCUCAAUGCCUCAAGUUCAUCUGAAGUUUACUGGAGUUUUGACAGAUCUAAACAAAUCUCAAAGAACUCCUCCCCUGGAUUCUGC
rnacentral:lncRNA from 1 species